rnacentral:rRNA from 1 species
ACAAGCUUGAGAAACGGCUAGUAGGACUAAGGUCUGCAGCAGGCGCGAAACUUACACAAUGCUAGAUUACAAUUAGCGAUGUAGUGAAGAAAAAUAACGAUGUACUUACAUUUAAACAUGUUAGUACAAUUGGAAUGAGACGACUAUAAACCAGUCAGUCGAGUAACAAAUGGAGGGCAAGUCUGGUGCCAGCAGCCGCGGUAAUUCCAGCUCCAUUAGCAUACAUUAAAGUUGUUGCGGUUAAAAAGCUCGUAGUUGAAUUUUAGGUGGGCUCUAUUGGGAUGCAAUCGUUAAGACCCUCGGUGCUCCUUCACUGGACCCGCAGGGUUGGUUGUAUUUUCCCUAUAGGAACCCACUGUUUCGUCACUUAAUCGAGUGCGAAGCGGGCUGGUACAAAGAUCUUCGGAUCUUGUUUCAGCAUGUUUACCUUGAGAAAAUUAGAGUGCUCACAGCAGGCAGUUGGGGUGUUAAAACCUCUUUUUGCUUGAAUAAUGUUGCAUGGAAUAAUAGAAUACGGCCUCGGUUCUAUUCUGUUGGUCUUAUAGAACAACAAACAAGUUGAUUAAAGCGACAAAAAGUUCGUUUGUGAGUGUGGCUUUAGGGGUCUUUCCUGCGAGAGUGUAUAGCGCAUCUUUGGAUAGUGUUGCCUGGGGCCUUAAAAUCUCAGUGACUCGUUCGAUUUUACGCUUUCCUUGAGCGGUUAGUCGCCCCUACAAGUCAUCUAAAGCACUCCUAACUGGACUAGCUUUCUAAUCAACUGAGGCAAUGGUUAAAAGAAAUAGUCGCGGCGGCAUCAGUACUGCAUCGUGAGAG